AGCCACGCAGUGAGCACAAAGCGAACUACUCUUUCGCUUUUUACUAAAGAAUAUCGUGUGAGCGCUGCAAUUAGUGACAUACACCAAUUUUUGGAGGGGUUUUCAUUCAUUGAGUACC